UACGUAGGGUGCGAGCGUUGUCCGGAAUUAUUGGGCGUAAAGAGCGUGUAGGCGGCCAUACAGGUCCGUUGUGAAAACUGGAGGCUCAACCUCCAGACGUCGACGGAAACCGUAUGGCUAGAGUCCGGAAGAGGAGAGUGGAAUUCCUGGUGUAGCGGUGAAAUGCGCAGAUAUCAGGAAGAGCCACCGUGGCGAAGGCGGCUCUCUGGGACGGUACUGACGCUGAGACGCGAAAGCGUGGGGAGCGAACAGG
rnacentral:rRNA from 1 species